rnacentral:rRNA from 1 species
AUUGAACGCUGGCGGCAUGCCUUACGCAUGCAAGUCGAACGGUAACAGGUCUUCGGAUGCUGACGAGUGGCGAACGGGUGAGUAAUACAUCGGAACGUGCCUAGUAGUGGGGGAUAACUACUCGAAAGAGUGGCUAAUACCGCAUGAGAUCUACGGAUGAAAGCAGGGGAUCGCAAGACCUUGUGCUACUAGAGCGGCCGAUGGCAGAUUAGGUAGUUGGUGGGAUAAAAGCUUACCAAGCCGACGAUCUGUAGCUGGUCUGAGAGGACGAUCAGCCAGACUGGGACUGAGACACGGCCCAGACUCCUACGGGAGGCAGCAGUGGGGAAUUUUGGACAAUGGGCGAAAGCCUGAUCCAGCAAUGCCGCGUGCAGGAUGAAGGCCUUCGGGUUGUAAACUGCUUUUGUACGGAACGAAAAGCCCCGGGUUAAUACCCUGGGGUCAUGACGGUACCGUAAGAAUAAGCACCGGCUAACUACGUGCCAGCAGCCGCCGUAA